rnacentral:rRNA from 1 species
CAGUCGCCGCGGUAAUACAGAGGGUGCGAGCGUUAAUCGGAUUUACUGGGCGUAAAGCGUGCGUAGGCGGCUUCUUAAGUCGGAUGUGAAAUCCCUGAGCUUAACUUAGGAAUUGCAUUCGAUACUGGGAAGCUAGAGUAUUGGAGAGGAUGGUAGAAUUCCAGGUGUAGCGGUGAAAUGCGUAGAGAUCGGGAGGAACAUCAGUGGCGAAGGCGGCCAUCUGGGACAACACUGACGCUGAGGCACGAAAGCGUGGGGAGCAAACAGGAUUAGAUACCCCGGUAGUCCCUGUCUCUUAUAC